UCCAGGGUAGCCUAGUGGACAUGGCAUCUGCCCGGUAAGCAGAACUCUGUGGGUUCGAUUCCCAUCCCUGGAC
rnacentral:tRNA from 1 species